GACAGUCGCUAACGGUUUAGCAGUUUGCUUGCAGUUCCUGCAUUUCUAUGUUGAGAUGGGAACUCUUUAGAUAAUCCUUAAGGAAUUAUCCCACACAGUUGUUGAAUUUUUCUCUUCACUUUCCAAUGAUGGUCCACGACAGUGUCACAAUAAAGGAACCAACAUGAGUUAAA